rnacentral:tRNA from 1 species
CGGGGUAUAGCUCAAGUGGUAAAGGGCGUGCUUAGUAUGCAGGAGGUCCUGGGUUCAAUCCCCAGUACCUUCU